UGGCAGGAAGAUGGGAUCACUGAGAACCAGCACAAUUUUGGGCCAACCUCAAUUGCUCCUCGCCUCCAUCCUGUUGGUUUCUGGUCCCCUCAGUCCUGUCUCUACCCUGGAACACCUAUUGUGUAACGUCUGCCCCCUGCAUGAAAAAUCUGAGUUGUGUCCAAACUUCACCACCGAGUGUCGGCCCGGCGAGCGCUGCACCAGCUCAAGAGGCUUCUACGGUGCCCUUCACGUCCUUUCCGCUCAGGGCUGCAUCAGUGCCGACCUCUGUGGUUCCUAUGAGAUGGUCACUUACAGAGGAAUCAAAUAUAAACUUCGUUAUGCUUGCUGCUGCGGAAACACAUGUAACGAGGCGCCUGAAUCCAAAACCACACUGAAGGAGCUGCUGCAGAUGAUCCAAGCUAAAGCAAAUGGCACUGAGGCUGCUGUGGAAAAGCCUUUGGCUGUGUGUGCAAAUAACACACUAAUAGAAACCAGUGCUCCUCCUGCUGUUAAGGCAUAGAUUAGUGUCUGUCUGCUAGAGGCCUGUUUACCUACAGAGUCCUCUGAGUCUCCCAAAAAAAGGACUUUCAUUUGGUCAAAUGUUUGCAUGCUUUGGGAUUUUCCUCUUGUGUUUGUAAUGAGGGUGGGG
rnacentral:lncRNA from 1 species